rnacentral:rRNA from 1 species
UACGGAGGAUCCGAGCGUUAUCCGGAUUUAUUGGGUUUAAAGGGUGCGCAGGCGGGAGAUUAAGUCGGCGGUGAAAUUUUGCAGCUCAACUGUAAAAGUGCCUUCGAAACUGGUUUUCUUGAGUGUAGCUGAAGUAGGCGGAAUUUGUGGUGUAGCGGUGAAAUGCAUAGAUAUCACGAGGAACUCCGAUUGCGCAGGCAGCUUACUAAACUACUACUGACGCUCAUGCACGAAGGCGUGGGGAUCAAACAGGAUUAGAUACCCGGGUA